CGCCGCUUUUCUUUUCUCACCAGCCCCAUACCCAACACCUAGGCGUAAUGAAUGCUCACUUCCAGUUGUAAAUAGUGAAGGUUGCUCUCUCUCAUCAAGGGGGGAGGGGGAUUCUCCAUUUUCAUCGUCCGUCAAGAGCUGGGCUGAAUAGUUCGAUCCAGAAGAGACCUCAACUGGCUGUAUCAACGCUUAGAUCUGCAGUUUUGGUUAGCAGGCGUGUACGCGAGCUUGGCGGAUGGAGGAAGAGGACGAAAACCAAGGGUGGGGAGGGGGAAGGCAUGAGCAAAUAGGGGUUACAGUUGAUGUUGUUGAGAGGUCAGGAGAUGAUGUGGAGGAUCAGACAGGGCUAACCUCGCGGCUGUCAGUUAAGCAUGUCGUCGAGGUCAUCACAAAAUUCGAUGAGUACAAAAGAUGGCUUGUGUCUGAGAUUGGUUUUGAGGGUAUGCUUAAACUCCCACUGUUGGGGAAGAUGGAUCUAAAGAUGAGUGCGUGGAUUAUGCGGAAGGUGAAGGUGAAGGUGCGUGCAAUAGUUGUUGAUGAACAUAGGGUGAUUCCUUUUGUGCCAGAGGAUUUUCACAAAGUAUUUGGCAUUCCGUGCGGCAACCGCGCUGUUCGUGGAAGGGAUGGCAAAAUAAAGAGUGCAGCAGUAGAGUUCAUGAAGCAGACAAUUGGGAUGGAUGCAUCUCCUGCUCAGAAUCUCAAGAUGGCAGAAGAUUUUCUUAGUAGGGAUAUAUCAGAUGAAUCAAGCAAGAUUGAGAAGGACUGUUUCCAGAUUUCAUUUGUUAUAUUUGUGAUGGGUUAUGUCUUGUCCCCGGGCACAAAGUAUGAGCACAUGACCAUUGAUUUUUGGGGGGCUCUCGCCAAUCCUGAGCUGAUUUCCCAAUUUAAUUGGUGCGAGUAUGCUGUUGAUAAUCUCAUGGCAGCUGUGAUGAAGUUGCAGAGGGAAUAUCACAACAAGGCGCAAGUGGUUCAUCUUUCUGGAUGCCAUUUGUUCUUCCAGAUUUUCUUGCUAGACAACAUUGAUCUUGGGAUUUUCAACAUGAUACACUCUGUAUUUCCGAGAAUUCAGAGUUUUGACUACAAAAUGCUUCGGCAGAUGAUUACGAUGGCGCGCUGCGAGCAGCGAGGGAGCAUAACAUACGUCCCUGGAGCAAUUCGCCCACCAGAUUCUGUAUGCUAUGUGCCUGUAAGUGUGACGAGCGCAAUGUGGACGGACGGUAUGUCACUUCCAUCUUCGUCCAAACAACCAUCAUCAAGGAUGUCUGUCACACGCAAAUGUCGGACAUCAAAGGUUUGUUUAGAUGCAAAGACAGGGGCAUUCAACUUUUUUGGGGAUCCUAUGUCUGCUAAUAGGUCAAUUGGCCCAAGUGAAUUCAGCAAGCAUCUUCGACAGAUUUCAAAAGAUGAUCCGGCCCUGCAGGAGCUGAGUCUCAUGUUGAAGCAGCACAAUGCCAAGUGCACGCUCGCCGCGACAUUGUUGAGGAACCAACUACAGUCUGAUAUGUUUUGCUUUGCGGAGAAAAUGGUCGAACUUGUGAAGGACCGCUGCAGGUGUUGUUCGAAUCGAGGAUUGUCCAAGUGUACUAGUCUUGAGGAUACUGAUGUGGAUGGUAAUUCUAGUAGGCGAGUUUUCGAAGUAGGCCGUCGGCUUGAUAUGGGUUGUGACGAAGUCCAUGCAAAGUCAAAGGUUUACGAAGAUUAUCAAAGAAUGAAAAGGAUUUGUGUUGAACGAAACAAAAACAAAGCUGAAUCAGGGCAGGGCCAGUCGCGGACGAAAGAUGAUGUUCCUGUCUACAACAAUCCUGUGAUAGAGAGAAAACCAGAUGAUAGGGGGAAGAUGUUUGAAGACCGAAUUGUAGUCUAUGCACAGACUAUUGCUGAAAUGGUUCAAUCUCUAUAUGAUACAGAUACGAAGGAGGCAACAUUUGUUUAUUUUCACUCAACUGAGUCUAAAUUACCCAGGCGUAGGAAUGUCAUGUCGGCAAGCUUUUGCAAUGAUCCAUGGUCACGGGGAUGUGUCCCGCAACCUGCUUCAAUCCCGUUGAUAGGCAAGUUCAAUGCAUGGAUCGGUGGUCAGAAAGACCUUGAUUUGAAUAGUGUUUGGUUGCUGCAUACAUCGCCAAGGCUCUUGAGGGUAAAUGUUGUAUGUAUUCAGCAGCAGAUACUUGGAUCAGAAGCUCUUGACCAUGAGGUUGCUACCCUUCUUUUGCGGCGUUUUUACCAAAUUGACACUGGGGAUGGAGGAGCAAGUACCUACAUGUUGUGGAGGGAAGUUCUUGAACCAGAUUUUUCGACGCAUGCUCUUGCCGGGGGGAAAGUCUUGCAUGUGAAAGCUGUACAGGGGGUAUUUACACAUGCAAAUCAUGAUAUAACGACGUGUAGGAUGUUUUUCGUACCUGCUGUGUUGGAUCAAGGGUGGGCGGCGUAUAUGUGGGACAUGAUGAGGAAGGAGAUUCAUGUCCUCGACCCUAUGUGUCAGCAAGCUAUGGGUUUAGAGCAGCGUCACUUAAUGCAUGAAGUGGCAGUCUCACAAAUUCAUGCUGCGUUAUUUGGCUGCUUGAAUGAAUACUUUGCAAAAUGGCAUCGCGCUUCUCAAAGUUGGAAGCGGAAGUUCCCGAAGAUUACUGAUGACUUUUUCACAAGGGAUGAGUCUGGAAUAUGCAUGAUCCAUGCUAUUAGGAAUUAUUGUGGGGAGAAGAUGAUGUGUGCACUUACGAAGAAUAAUAUUGCAAGUUUUAGGAAAUUGGUUGCUUAUGAGGUCUUCCAUUUACGCGAUGAUCGUGGCGAUUUCGUGGCUGAUGAUCUCCUGCGCGCUGCGUUUGAUGAACCUGAGGAGCGAUGUGAAUGAAAGGGGAGGAGCAGUUGCUGGAAGGCAGCAUCCCAAGAUAUGCGUGAUGAGCGCAAGUGCAUGGUUGACGUAGGUUUGCAAAGAAAGUGUUUUCAGCAUCAGGAUGCUACAUUGUUCAUAGAAGUGCACACGCUGCAAUUCAUCUUCUUUGCUGCUGACAAUGGCUAUGUCCUGAAGAAAUCAUGAGUGCAAGGAUGACAGUCAGAACCACAGAAAGUCUGGUAACUCACGACGGAAUAAAGUUUGUGGGUUUUCUCUGAGGGUGAUCCGUCGGCUGCACUCCACAAAACUUGCAAAUUGUCAGGUAUAGAUGGGUCAUCAGUAUAUGCAUUUUUCUUGAGAAUUUCAUAGAGAUGCAAUGCACGAGUUUUUCUGAAGGUAGAUCAGUGAUUUUGUCUCAAGGUACGACAAUGGGGUAGGUAGUUGCUGAACAAACCUUCAGAUGUUGGAGGCAGCCGCGUGCUAGAAGAUGAAAAUAUGCUUCUGUUGAUCUUAUGUGCAAAACGGUCUAUGCUGCUAUCAUAGCUACCUGAUGCAACUGUACAUUUAUCACCAAGUUGGUCAGCAAUACUUCACUUUUA